GACGAACGCUGGCGGCGGGCUUAACACAUGCAAGUCGAACGGAAAGGCCCUGCAUUUGUGGGGUGCUCGAGUGGCGAACGGGUGAGUAACACGUGAGUAACCUGCCCUUGACUUUGGGAUAACUUCAGGAAACUGGGGCUAAUACUGGAUAGGAGCUCCUGCUGCAUGGUGGGGGUUGGAAAGUUUCGGCGGUUGGGGAUGGACUCGCGGCUUAUCAGCGUGUUGGUGGGGUAGUGGCUUACCAAGGCUUUGACGGGUAGCCGGCCUGAGAGGGUGACCGGCCACAUUGGGACUGAGAUACGGCCCAGACUGCUACGGGAGGCAGCAGUGGGGAAUAUUGCACAAUGGGCGGAAGCCUGAUGCAGCAACGCCGCGUGCGGGAUGACGGCCUUCGGGUUGUAAACCGUUUUCGCCUGUGACGAAGCGUGAGUGACGGUAAUGAGUAAAGAAGCACCGGCUAACUACGUG
rnacentral:rRNA from 1 species